rnacentral:tRNA from 1 species
UGUAAUUAAGUGUAUGUAGCACGUAAAUUUUUGAUAUUUAAAGUUAAGUUUAAUUCUUAAAGUUAUAA